UACGGGGGGGGCAAGCGUUGUUCGGAAUUACUGGGCGUAAAGGGCUCGUAGGCGGCCAACUAAGUCGGACGUGAAAUCCCUCGGCUUAACCGGGGAACUGCGUCUGAUACUGGAUGGCUUGAAUCCGGGAGAGGGAUGCGGAAUUCCAGGUGUAGCGGUGAAAUGCGUAGAUAUCUGGAGGAACACCGGUGGCGAAGGCGGGUCUCUGGGCCGAUACUGACGCUGAGGAGCGAAAGCGUGGGGAGCGAACAGG
rnacentral:rRNA from 1 species